UUAAAGUUUGAUUUUAGCUUUAAUAUUUACUUUAUGAUUUUUUUUUAUGGAAAUUUUUGUGAUAAAUUAUUUAAAAUUUUUUAAUAAAAUUUUAAUUUAUUAAUAUAGUUUUCAGUUUAUAGAGUUAUUAAUUAAAGAAAUUUAGAUUUAUAAAUUAUAAUAAUAUAGGUUAAAAUUGUGCCAGCAGCAGCGGUUAAACAAUUUAUAUUAGUAAAUAAUAUUUAAUUAUAAAUUUAUUAAUUUAUAAUAAUAUAAUUAAAUUAAAAUUUAAUUAAGUGAAAUUUUUAAUUUUAUUUAAAUAUAUUUAAAUUUAAUAAUUUUAUGAAAUUUUUUUAAUAAACUAGGAUUAGAUACCCUAUUAUUAAAAGUUUAAAAAAAAAUUAGAAGAUUAAUAGGUAUGUUCUUUAAAUUUAAAAAAAUUGGCGGUGUUUAAAACUAAUUAGGGGAACUUGCUUUUUAAAUGAUAAUCCGCAUGAAACCUUACUUUAAUUUAUUUAGUUUAUUUACUGCCGUUAUCAGAUUAUUUUUUAAAAAUUAAAAUUUUCUGAAUUAUUUAAAAAUAAGUAUUUCAGGUCAUGGUGUAGUUUAUAUUAAAGUAAAAGUGAGUUACAAUAAAAAUUUAUUUAUUAAUGAAAAUUUAAUUGAAAUAUUAAAUUGAAGGUGGACUUAAUAGUAAAAUUAAAUAUUACAUUUAUUUGAAUUUAGAAUUAAAUGUGUACAUAUUGCCCGUCGCUCUCGUUUUAAGAUGAGAUAAGUCGUAACAUAGUAGAGGUACUGGAAAGUGUUUCUAGAAUUUU
rnacentral:ncRNA from 1 species